CCCUAGCGCCGGUAAAGUGACCUCUGUAGUGCACAAACCGGUAUUUGCAAACUGAAGCUAUGGCUCCUCCCGUCGCUGUAUCUCCACUGAUCAAGACCGCCAGGUAUUCAGCAUUAAUUGCUGGGAUCAUCUAUGGAAAAAGGAGAUAUGAUGAACUGAAGCCCAUUGCUGCAGAGGAGAGGAGGGUUGAGGAGGAGGAGAAAAAAGUCAGGGAGGAGAAGGAGCGCAUCGCCAAGGCGAUUGCCGAAGCCUCUGAAGAAACCAUCCUGAAGUAAAAGCUCUGGACCUGAAUGUAGUCUAUGUGUACAGAUCCUCACAACCUUGUGCAAUCCCCCUUCCCUCGCUCAUGCUCGCUUGCUUUGGAACACCAGGUCACACCGUCUCCACUCCCCAGUUUGUAGACUCUCACUGUAUCUCUUCUGACUUCGUGGCUACCCUCCUAAAUACCAUACUUGUAUAAAAUGCGCUGUUACAUUACAAAUGCAUUUGUUAACUUGGGUUAUUCGUAUAUAUUUAAAUAUUGAUAUUAAAGUUUGAUUAUGAACACAAAACCAGAAUAUUACCCUCUUGUAUG